rnacentral:rRNA from 1 species
GAUCAUGGCUCAGGAUGAACGCUAGCUACAGGCUUAACACAUGCAAGUCGAGGAGAAACGACAUCGAAAGCUUGCUUUUGAUGGGCGUCGACCGGCGCACGGGUGAGUAACGCGUAUCCAACCUGCCUGCCACUUGGGGAUAACCUUGCGAAAGUAAGACUAAUACCCAAUGACAUCCCACGAAGACAUCUGAAUGGGAUUAAAGAUUUAUCGGUGAUGGAUGGGGAUGCGU